AUGCUUCAACAUGCAAGGGGCGCGUAUCCACAGAUAUUUUUCAAAAAUAUCUGUGGAUACGCGCCCCAUGCAUGUUGAAGCAU
rnacentral:pre_miRNA from 1 species